rnacentral:lncRNA from 10 species
CACACUGGGGCCUGUCAGGGGUGGGGGGCUGGGGGAGGGAUAGCAUUAGGAGAAAUACCUAAUGUAAAUGACAGGUUGAUAGGUGCAGCAAACCACCAUGGCACGUGUAUACCUGUGUAACAAACCUCCACAUUCUGCACAUGUAUCCCAGAACUUAAAGUAAAAAAAAAAAAAAAAAAAACCUUUGUUUACAUUUAAAAAAAAAUCCCAGUGACUCAGCACAGUGAGCGAGGAGCACAAUAGGGUGGUUACCCAGACAGGACGUCCAUCUAGGAGCCCUGCGGGAGGCAUGCAGGUAUUUCUCUGGAGGUCAUGCCUGGCAGGCGUCCACUGUUAGAGCCAGAGGACCCGGAGCAUUAUCUGAAUGAACUAAUGACCAACAGGCGGGCAGAAAUGAGUGCUGCGGAUUGAUAACAGGGACAGCCAGACCCCCUCCCAUCCCCACGAGGCAGAGGCACCAGGGAACAACUGCAGAGUUCUGACUACUCAAUCACAGUGCAAUGAGUAAUGGAAGGCUACGUAGUGGCAAGAAUUGAAAAGAAGACCAGGCGCAGUGGCUCACGCCUGGAAUCCGAGCACUUUGGGAAGCCAAAGCAGGAGGAUUGCUUGAGCUCAGGAAUUCGAGAGCUUGAGACUAGCCUAAGCAACAUAGCCACCUGGCUUUCCCACACAUCAACCUCGUGCUCACACCCCACUCUGGAGACCACCAGCUUCGAGGCAAAAAGAGAGAACGACGUACAAUGGGCAUCUUCCCUCAUCCACCCCAUUUCAAAGAGGGUUCUGCUUGCAGGAACUCAAAGCUCAGAGCUUUUAGCUUCCCAAAGCCCUAUUUCCAAACUAAAGCAAAGGUCCUUUAGAAUUUGCACGGCGGGCUGUGCAAAAUGAGAGAGAAGGAAAUCGCUGGCAGAAAUAUCCCCGAAGAAGGGAUUUCUCCCCCAAAGACCAGAAAGCAAUUCUUCUAGGUUAGGGGAAUGAGGAGACAUACAGAGAAAACAAGAGGCUUGGGAGUUCCUCAUGAAAGGACUGGACCUGGAGUGGCCAUGCAGGAGAGGUGCAAGGGACUUGGAGCCCCUGAAGCUUCAGGAGAGCUGCGUGGCCCAUGUCCUGCUGCACCGGCAGCCAUCACGCCCAUGAGCCCUGCCUGUGUCCAGAAACAGUGCUGCUGUCCUUGACCUCGUCACUCUGCAAGGACUUCGCUUCCCCAGCAGGCAGUUCACCUCUGGAUACCCCUCCCUGAUGCAAACUUUGCUCAUGUCAUGUCUAUCAAGAUCAAGAAAAUGGAGCCCAUAACUGAGAUCAGCACAUGGGUAAGGAAACUGCUGAAUGGAAGGAGCUCCAAGACCUGGAACUGAGACCGAAGCUGGCAACAUGGCGGGAUGUUGCACCCCCCACACACACGCUCACACGUGGUUUUCAUUCCUUCUUUCAUAUUACGGCGGGCGUGGAAUUACCAGUCAAUUUGACAUUUAUAAAUACAUUAACUAGCGCUUCCAAUUCUUCUCCUGCUUCCAAGUUUGUUCUCACCACCUCACAGAAAAUGCUGGGGACAGAAUUAAAUGCAGAGUAAUCUAAACAAGCUUUGAUAUGUCAUAUGUCUUUCCUACUGAAUAAGCUAAACCAACCAGGGUAAUUUAGUGAUACUUGGGCAAGAAAACUAGGAAUUACGCACACUUUCCUUUUCCAAAUUCCCCACAUGGAAGUCUGUGAAUUCUACUGCAAUUACAGUGGUAUAAUAAAAAAGAUAUGCUUGGCUUUUGUUCGUGUUCUUGGCAUAGACUUCCUAAAACCCUUGCAAUUCCUUGAGUGAUAGGAGUGUCUUUUGUUAUUCAUAAUGAGCCCUUUUCAAUUAUACCUGGGAUUAUGUGAGUGAAGUGGCUCUUGGCAGGACCCCUGGAUUGCCUCAGGAUGGGGGCUGGUUUGGUUGCCAGAGGAACCAAGCAUAUGAUUAGAGGGUAGAAAUUUUCACCAUCAUCCCCCCACCUCGGGGGAUAG